AUGAAAGCCAUCCCAGCUGUUGUCAUAGAUUUCAUAGGGUUAGAUUAAAGGGGCCAUCUAUAAAAAUAAAAAAAACAACCUCAAAACAGACGUAUUUUGCUUUGCUUCUUUGCUUUUGCUCUGAGAGGGAGGCUUGUGUUGUGGGCGUUGAUUCAGUUACUGGCGGUCUCUAAUUCGCUUGGUGCAGGUCGGGAACUGCUUCGCGUUUACGGCUUUUUUUUUUCCAUACAACACCUAUGAGCCAGGUGGCGCCAUGGUAUUGGUCGGUGGUGCGAAAUGGGUCCCGCCUUGCAUCAACUGAAUCGGAGACCGCGGUGAAGAGGGGGGUUGGGUUGUUUCGUGGUUCAUGGAUCUCGCGUUUUUCGCUUUUGCUCGUUUCUCAGAUCUCAUCUCAGGUUACUAUUAGCAAAGUCCCUUCUCAGCUUUUGUGAUAAUAUAUAGAUGGUUUACUUUUUCGGGGAAAAUUGAGAAAAGCACAGAAUCUUUCAAAAGAAUGAAUGAGUUGUUAGGCGGUCAUAUGAAAAGGAAAAAAAGCAUCCUGUGUUCAGACACUAGAGUGGAAGAUUUUUACUAAAAGGGGCUGAAGAAAACCCAUCCAUAAAAAGCCCACAGUGCCCCAAAAAAAAAUAAACAUAAAAGAAAAUACAAGUUGUUGUAGGUGUAAUUUGUUGAAAUAUUAUUCUAACACUCCUUUUUUUUACCACUUUGGGAGUGCACUGCACAUACCCAAAACAUAAGUGCCAAAAAAGCUUCCCCCUCCUCAGCGACUUAUUUCUGCAGUUUGGGAUAUUCGACAACUUGUAGCAGAUACUUUAUACUUUGCGGCAUAUGUUUAGGGGAGCUAAUUCGGUGGCGGAUGCCUUUUUAAAUUGGAAAAUGCUAGAGGCACCAACUUGCUCACCAACUCUCUAAUAGAGCUUGGGACCCGUUGUAUUGGCGGGCUCCCCCUCUAUUAGAGAGUUGGUGAGCAAGUUGGUGCCUCUAGCACCACCCUUUUAAAUUUUGGUUACCGUAUUAAUGGUUAGUAAUCGUUGAUGGGGUAUAGUUUAGUUGGUUGAAUUCUUCCGCCUUCACUAUUAUGGAUAGAUUUUUCGAAACUCCCAGACGCCCAAUUAAUAUUUGUGUGUAAACUCACCUUUCCCAAUUAAAGAAAAUACCACCACAGCUAAUCCCAUGAAAUCAGUCGAUCCCUCAAAAUCAGCAUAGAUAGACUCUUCAUCACAAGAUCAGCGACAUGUCCUCUAAGAAUUGA